GAGUUUGAUCCUGGCUCAGGAUGAACGCUAGCGGCAGGCUUAAUACAUGCAAGUUGAACGGCAGCGGGUUGUAGCAAUACAAUGCCGGCGAGUGGCGCACGGGUGCGUAACACGUAUGCAACCUACCCUAUACUGGGGCAUAACCUUUAGAAAUGAGGGCUAAUACUCCAUGUAAUUAUGAGAAGGCAUCUUUUUAUAAUUAAAGAUUUAUCGGUAUAGGAUGGGCAUGCGUCCCAUUAGUUAGUUGGUAAGGUAACGGCUUACCAAGACAAUGAUGGGUAGGGGUCCUGAGAGGGUUCACCCCCACACUGGUACUGAGACACGGACCAGACUCCUACGGGAGGCAGCAGUAAGGAAUAUUGGGCAAUGGCCGCGAGGCUGACCCAGCCAUGCCGCGUGCAGGAAGACGGCCUUAUGGGUUGUAAACUGCUUUUAUACGGGAAUAAUAGAGUGUACGCGUACAUUUAUGCAAGUAUCGUAUGAAUAAGCAUCGGCUAACUCCGUGCCAGCAGCCGCGGUAAUACGGAGGAUGCGAGCGUUAUCCGGAUUUAUUGGGUUUAAAGGGUGCGCAGGCGGAUUUAUAAGUCAGUGGUGAAACACUCCGGCUCAACUGGGGGACUGCCAUUGAUACUGUAGGUCUUGAGUUAAGAGGGCGUUGGCGGAAUGUGUCAUGUAGCGGUGAAAUGCAUAGAUAUGACACAGAACACCGAUAGCGAAGGCAGCUGACGAUACUUUAACUGACGCUCAUGCACGAGAGCGUGGGGAUCAAACAGGAUUAGAUACCCUGGUAGUCCACGCUGUAAACGAUGAUCACUAGCUGUAGGCGAUACACUGUCUGUGGUUAAGCGAAAGCGAUAAGUGAUCCACCUGGGGAGUACGUCGGCAACGAUGAAACUCAAAGGAAUUGACGGGGGCCCGCACAAGCGGAGGAGCAUGUGGUUUAAUUCGAUGAUACGCGAGGAACCUUACCUGGGCUUGAACGUAUGGUGCAUUAUGGAGAAAUUCAUAUUUCUAGCAAUAGACUUCAUACGAGGUGCUGCAUGGCUGUCGUCAGCUCGUGCCGUGAGGUGUUAGGUUAAGUCCUGCAACGAGCGCAACCCCUGUUUUUAGUUGCCAGCAUGUAAUGAUGGGGACUCUAGAGAGACUGCCUGCGCAAGCAGCGAGGAAGGUGGGGAUGACGUCAAGUCAGCACGGCCCUUACGCCCAGGGCUACACACGUGCUACAAUGGCCGGUACAGAGGGCAGCGACCAUGUGAAUGGGAGCGAAUCUUCAAAGCCGGUCUCAGUUCGGAUCGGAGUCUGCAACUCGACUCCGUGAAGUUGGAUUCGCUAGUAAUCGCGCAUCAGCCAUGGCGCGGUGAAUACGUUCCCAGGCCUUGUACACACCGCCCGUCAAGCCAUGGGAGUUAGGGGUGCCUGAAGUCGAUGACCGUCAAAGGAGUCGCCUAGGGUAAACCUGAUGACUGGGGCUAAGUCGUAACAAGG
rnacentral:rRNA from 1 species